rnacentral:rRNA from 1 species
AUGGGAGGAAUUGUUGAAUGUGGUCUGAGCACUGACACAAAAACUUCCCCUCGCCGUGUGGCCAUAGAGAAAGCUCAGGAGGAGCUGAGGCAGGAGUAUGAUGUCCGUGAAGAACGGAGGAGGGAGCUUGAGUUUUUAGUUAAGGGAGGCAAUCCCUUGGAUUUCAAACUUGGACAUGUAGUGUCGCUGAGUGUACAGUCCACUUCUGUCACAGAUCAGAUAGCCGAACAAAAUGUGAUGAGUGAAGCAAAAGGUAGUUUCACAUUUGCUGCAUCACCUCAUGGAGAUUCGUUUGAUAGUAGUGGCAGACCAGGAAGUUCAUGUCGUGAAGCCAACACAGCUGAUAAUCUUAUGCUUUUAUAUGGAGAUACCAGCAAAAUAGGUGGGGAGAAACUUGUGAAACGCGGCACUAAAAGAAGUAACACACCUCAACCCGAGAUGUCCUUUUGCAAUGAUGGCCAGAAUAACACAAAAGAAGCUGAAGAUUCUGGUCUGUUCCGCCAUGGGGCAAAGAGCCAAGCGUAUGCUCGACGCAGGUCAAAGUCAAGCAGGGAGAAUGUAAAUACUGUGCCUAUUAGGUCUCCACCAGUUCCUCCCUUAAGUUCUCACCGGGAAGAUGCAAAAGGUGUAGUACAAGAAGCAAAAAAUGAUGAUCAUGGCGCCUCAUCCAGUGCGGCUCCAAUACCGAGAAGUUCAAAUGGUAACGAUAUGUUGAAUAAUGCGCCAAAUAAUCAAAUGGCAGUGAAGAUGGGCAGUGUUCAAGCAAUUCAUGAAGGCAAGCAAGAAGAAAAACAGGAAAUAACGAACAACCAACAUGUUACUCUAGCUCCCGAAAUCUCAUCAAACAGCGUGUUUGAUAAUUCACAGCAUGCUGCAGGUGGCCAGAUGCCUAGUGCAGCUGCUUCUGCCGAAUCUCCUCAUGCUAUUACAAAAGAAGCUUCUUCAAGGACAGCUUCUUUGCCAUCUACACACAACGAAAUCUUUAGAGAAGCACAUACUCCUGAAAAGGCAGACAUCAGCUGCUCUGACAAAAGAAUGGUUUAUGCUCAUGCAGUUGAUAUCGAAAAUGAGGCUUCUGUUCUGCAGCCAGCCAUAGAAACUGCUAGAUCUAAUGAAAAUGAAGUGGAUCUAACUUGUACAGAUGCCACCAAGACUACUGAUGAGCAUUCAGGUAAAAAUGCUAAUUUUGUAUCAGUGAAGGUUGGUGAAAAUUCUGAUGAAGGCUUGAGUAACACAGUACCUGGUGAUAACGACGACAAAAGAGAUGACCAACUGGAAGGCCGUAGCAGCCCCACUGCUGUGGUUGACGGAUGUACUCUUGUACAUCCAGAAGUCUGCACUGCUGUGAAAGAUGAAAUUGAAGUUUGUAACGACGUGGCUGACACGCAAAAGGAUACAGGACGUCCUGCUACUUCUGACCACAACAAAGUGACUAAGGAGGCAGGUUCUGAUUUGGAUAGAAACAACAACUGUUCCAGUGCUUUGAGUGGUUCCGAUAAGUUGGCUUCUGUUGAUGUGCCCCCUGCUUCGCUCACAGAGGAUAUGCCUAAUCCUGUGCUAUCAACUAAAUAUUCUACAUGUAACUUUGACAACGAUGUUACAAAAUGUAGCCGAAAUGAUGCAACAGUUACGGAAAAGGAAUGUGAAGAUCCUAUUAUGAUAAAGAAGGAAUAUGAAGAUUCUAUCCUUAGAAGGGCUCGGUUUAUAGAGCUGAACGUUAAGAGAGCUGGUGAACAAGCUCUUUGCAAUAUUUCUUUGGAGAAGAAGCGGAAAAGUCACUGGGAAUUUGUUCUGGAGGAGAUGGCUUGGAUGGCAAAUGAUUUCAUGCAGGAGCGUCUGUGGAGAAGUACAGCUGCAGCCCAGAUGUGCAACUGGAUUGCUUCCAGUGGCCGAGCAGCAUUUGAAGAAGCUAGUGUUCACAGAAAGCAGAAAUCUGCUGCUAGAAUUCUGGCCAAGGGCAUAAUCAAUUUUUGGCGUUCAGCUGAGACUUUACGAGCUACUAGUGGUGAGAUUCCUAAAGCGUCACAAAUAGAGAAAUCAAAGGGGAUUGAAGAAAUGAAGCUUGCUGGCACCAAAGCAGAAAAAGAACUGGGUGACGAAUCCUUUGAACAAGAGAAGCCUAGGUGGUCUCACCACUCUUAUAUUCAGAGUUACGCUCUUCGGUUUCUGGAGUUCAACUGUAAUGUGUCUGAGUGUCUUUCAUUAGCUGAAGCACCAUCAACUCCAGACAGGCUAAAUGAUUUUGGCAUUUUAAAAGUGCCAGAUGAACUUUCAGAAACAAAUCUCUUUUAUGAGGUAGCCCCUGGUGCAAUGCACACAUACAGAGAGUCUGUGGGGUGUAUAUCUGUUUAUAAUAAGAAAUUUGUUAACACUGAACACAAGGAGGAUUAUGAGCCAUCUACAUGCGAUUAUGUUCCAGAUGUACAUAGGGAAAAUGCAUAUGAAGAUGAUGAAGCUGAGGCAUACACUUAUUUAUUGCCUGAGACAUAUGAUGGUGGCUUGGCAUCGAAAUCGAGUCACAAGAAGAAACAACAGCAGAGGAUGAAUGGCAGAAGGCCGUAUGAUAAUGGUGUUGACCUGCCUUAUGAUCCAUGCUCGGAGAGCAAGCCAGGAAACCAUCCAUUUUUAUCGAAUAGUAAAAGACCUCCGGAUUUCCUUUCCAUUCCUACAAAACGCAUACGGACAGCUGCUAGACAGCGAGUUGCAAGCCCAUUCUCUGCUGGUGUUGCCGGAACCCCUCAGUUCACAAGUAAAACAGAUGCCUCUAGUGGAGACACAAACUCCUGCCAAGAUGAUCAAAGUUCAUUACAAGGCGGUUUUGUCCCCAGGAAGAAUGCAGAUAUUGAAUCCACUGUUGACUUUGACAGACAAUUUAUAUAUGAUGGCAGUGAGGUGUCUACUAAGUCUAAAAAGAAGAAAAAGCCUAAGCACCCCGGGUACAAGGCACCACAAAGUGUGACCGAGUCCUAUACCUUGAUGUCUGGAAAGAAGGAUUAUUUGAAGAAAAGACAGGAGGCUAAUCAGUUUGAUUCAAAUGGGAAUAUUGUGGUAAAUGGUCAGCAUGCUUCUAAGAAGAGUAAACUGUUACAUCAAGCGCCAGAUAUUUCAUUAGAGGCUCUUACACCAGUUGGCCCACUGGCUUCUCCGGCAGCAUCACAAAUGAGUAACAUGGUAAACCCGACGAAGAUUAUAAAGAUCAUCACUAAUCGGGAUCGUGGAAGAAAAAGUAAAGCACUGAAGAUGACUGCUGGCCACUCCGGUCCUGGAAGUCCAUGGUCAAAUUUCGAGGAUCAGGCUCUUGUGGUGCUUGUACAUGAUAUGGGUCAAAACUGGGAACUAGUGAGCGACGCACUGAAUAGCAUUGUCCAACUGAAGUGUAUAUAUAGAAGGCCUGAUGAGUGUAAGGACCGUCACAAGCUUCUGACGGAUAGAAGUUCUGGUGAUGGCGCUGACAGCGCAGAUGACUCAGGCUCAUCUCAACACUAUCAAUCCACAUUACCUGGCAUUCCGAAGGGCAGCGCCAGACAGCUGUUUCAGCGCCUUCAAGGACCGUUUGAGGAAGAGACUCUUAAGACACAUUUUGAGAAAAUAAUAUUCCUUGGGCAGAAAUUGCAUCCAUGUCGCAGAAAGGGGGAAAUGCAGGAGCUUAAGCCAAUAAAUCCACUUCAUACUUCUCAUGUUCUUGCACUUUCUCAAGUGUGCACAAGCAACUUCUCUGGUGGCAUUUUGACGCCACUUGAUCUUUGUGACACAAUAACUUCAAUUCCGGAUGCACUUCCUGUUGGUUACCCGGGAUCACAUACAAAUGUGUUAACGCUUCCGAACCAUCACGGUUCAAUUAGUCCUGCUCUUCCAACUUCAAAUGUGAACCCAAGGUUAUCAGGUUCUCCUGGUAUGGUACUAGGAAGCAGUUUGCCAUCACCUUCAACAUUGAAUGGCCCGGCUAGGUAUGGUGUGCCUAGACCUACCUCUUUACAGGGCGACGAACAACAAAGAAUUCAGUAUACUCAUAUGGUUAAUGGCAGAAAUCUUCAGCAGCCUGGAGUUUCUGUUCCUGGUGUGUUGCCCGCUGGAGUUGAUCGUGGUGUUCGAAUGAUGCCUGGUGCUAAUGGUAUGGGAAUGAUGACUGGACUUGCUCGAUGUGCACCUGUUGCAAGGCCGGGUUUUCCAAGGAUUGGUUCCCCAGGAAUGCGAAAUAUGGUUUCAUCUGGAAACAUGCUAUCCAGUGGUCAAGGCAUGCAAAACUCGGUAAAUCUUCACCCUGGUUCUGUACCUGGCCCUGGAAAUACGAUGUUGAGGCCACGUGAUCCGAUGCAGAUGAUUCGGCCUGGCCAGAAUUCGGAAGAGCACAGACAAAUGAUGGUGCAGGAGUUUCAGAUGCAAGUUCCACAGGGGAAUAGCCAGGCUAUCCAUUUCAGUGGCACACCAUUUCCCCAUGCCGGAACAUCUUCACCUGUUCAGUCAUUUCCUGUUCAGCAGUCCCAACCACAUCAGAUGCCACAACAGGCACACAUGUUUGGAAAUACGCAGCACUCUCAUAUCCGAGGGGCAAACCAGUCAAGCCCACAGCAUCAGGCUUAUGCACGGUUAGCUAAAGAGAGACACAUUCAACAAUCCAUGAUGUCCCAACAACAGCACCCACUUUCUGCAGCUAGUGCAGUGCCAACUGUGCAGAAUGGUUCACAAACGCAGCCACAAUCUGCUGUCAAUGCUGUCCCAUCUUCACAAUCGCAGCAUAAGAAGCAGCACCCGACGCAACAUCCACAAGAUAGCUCAGUUCCUCCCAAUCAGCCUGCCAAUAGUACAUCACAUAAGCAGAAGAAGCAACAGGCUCAGCAGCAGUCAAGACAAAACCAACAGCAACGGCAUCAAGGUAGCCAGCAAGCUAAGCUAAUGAAGAGCUUAGGCCGAGGAAAUAUGACGCAGCAGAAUCCUUCAGUUGAUGGUACUCAACUCAGCGGCAUUCCUGCAACCUCAAAAAACCAAGUCUCUGAUACAAAUAUGAUGCAGCAGGCCCCAGCGUAUUUUACUGGUAAUAAGGGAUUGAUUCCAUCAGUGCCUCAGCCUGGGAAUCAACCAAAAAUGUAUGCUUCUCAUACACCGCAGUCACCAAUACAAUCAUCAGAUAUUGGUAAUCAAGGUUCAAUACAGGGUUCUCCCAACCAGACCUUGUUAGCUUCCCAACAAGCUCCAGUUCAUUCAUCAUCGCAAUUGGCUACACAACAGCAGCAACAACAGCGGCACAUGAAUCCAUCACAUAAUAAUAUCCAAAGAUUGAUGAUGCAACAAAACCGCCAUAUGAACAGCGAUGUUAGGAUCGAGUUGCCUGUUGAUCAAGUCAAUCAGGUAAUUCCGUCUACAUCAGUUGCAAGGAGUACAGACUCAGGUAGCCCAGGUGUUUCAUCUAUACAACAUCGGAAACAGGAUUCAUCUCAAGAUCCAACUGCUGUUGCCUCGACCUCGCAGCUAGCUAGCUCGCCUCAAGAUAGCUUUGUUGGAAAUGAAGCUUUCUUGUCAGCACCUAACCAAGGCAUGCUGCAAAGGCAAAUGUCAGGGGGUGUUCCUAUACAUGGAAAUGUUAUUGGCACCCAGCGGCAGCAACAGCAGGCUCGGCUGCAACUUCAAACUCAGCAGCAGCAGCAGCAGCAGCAGAGACCUGAUGUUCAAGGCAGUUUAUAUGCUCAUCCUUCAAAUUCGGGAGCAGGAUGA